rnacentral:lncRNA from 1 species
ACCCCAAACCUAAGUCCCCCAGUGCCCCACCUUCUCUAGUUACCACUCAGUAAAUCCCAUCAGGGGAUUUAUUCACUAAAGCUCUCACAACCUAAUCAUUUCUUCACUGAAAUUUCUUUCAUUGUCUCACACGUGAGUCUUUGGGGGAUAUCUCACAUCCAAACCAUAAAUGGAUUUAUUACUUAAUGAGUUAUUGGGAGGUGGUGAACACUUUAGGAGGUGAGUCCUAGUUGGAGGAAGUAGGUCCAUGGGAGUGUGCUCUUAAAGGAUAUAUUUUGUCCCUGUCCCAUCCUCUUACUCUGUGCUUCUGGGUUGCCAUGAUGUGAGCAUCUUUGCUCUACAAUGUGCUCCUUGAUGUGAUGCUGUCAUAUCACAGACCUGGAGCAAUGGAGCCAGUCAACUGUGGACUGAACUCUCUAAAUC